rnacentral:piRNA from 1 species
UNGGAGUGGUCAGUGUCUACACCAAAAAGU